rnacentral:pre_miRNA from 1 species
UUACUACUCCCUCCGUUCCAAAUUACUUGUCGUCGUUUUAGUUCAAAUUUGAACUAAAACGACGACAAGUAAUUUGGAACGGAGGGAGUAUAUC